GCCAGCAGCCAUAUCACCCUGCAACUCACAACUGCCAACCCACUAAGAUGGUGUGAGCCUGGUCAGUACCUGGAUGGGAGACCUCCUGGGAAAAACUAAGGUUGCUGCUGGAA
rnacentral:rRNA from 1 species